rnacentral:rRNA from 1 species
GAUGAACGCUAGCGGCAGGCCUAACACAUGCAAGUCGAGGGGAAGAAGGAGCUUGCUCCUUUGAGACCGGCGCACGGGUGCGUAACGCGUAUGCAAUCUACCUUUUACAGGGGAAUAGCCCAGAGAAAUUUGGAUUAAUGCCCCAUAGUAUAUAACCUUCGCAUGUUGGUUAUAUUAAAGUUCCAACGGUUCAAGAUGAGCAUGCGUCUCAUUAGUUAGUUGGUAAGGUAACGGCUUACCAAGACGAUGAUGGGUAGGGGUCCUGAGAGGGAGAUCCCCCGGACUGGGACUGAGACACAGACCAGACUCCGACGGGAGGCAGCAGUGAGGAAUAUUAGUCAAUGGUGGCAAGACUGACCCAGCCAUGCCGGGGACAGGAAGACGGGCCUAGGGAAUGUAAGUUGCUUUUAUACAAGAAGAAACCCUCCCACGUGUGGGGGCUUGACGGUACUGGAGGAAUAAGGAUCGGCUAACUCCGUG